rnacentral:rRNA from 1 species
AUUGAACGCUGGCGGCAUGCCUUACACAUGCAAGUCGAACGGCAGCAUAGGAGCUUGCUCCUGAUGGCGAGUGGCGAACGGGUGAGUAAUAUAUCGGAACGUGCCCUAGAGUGGGGGAUAACUAGUCGAAAGACUAGCUAAUACCGCAUACGAUCUACGGAUGAAAGUGGGGGAUCGCAAGACCUCAUGCUCCUGGAGCGGCCGAUACCUGAUUAGCUAGUUGGUGGGGGAAAAGCCUACCAAGGCAACGAUCAGUAGCUGGUCUGAGAGGACAACCAGCCACACUGGGACGUAGACACGGCCCAGACUCCUACGGGAGGCAGCAGUGGGGAAUUUUGGACAAUGGGGCAACCCUGAUCCAGCAAUGCCGCGUGAGUGAAGAGGGCCUUCGGGUUGUAAAGCUCUUUUGUCAGGGAAGAAACGGUAGUAGCGAAUAACUAUUACUAAUGACGGUACCUGAAGAAUAAGCACCGGCUAACUACGUGCCAGCCGCCGCGGUAA